AAAUAGAGGACGGCUCAGGUAUGUCUUUUAUUUGAGUUUUAAUAGUGCCUACGUUAGCGAUAGGGGUAUGGAUGGUAUUUUUAUACCUUGAAGUUAUACCUAGCUUAAAAACGUGUUUUCUAGCCUUUUUUUAAGAAAUCCUUAUCUUCUCAAGAUAAAAGUUUUGCUUGCUGACAUGAAUAAGGCAACAACUACCAGCCAAUUUAGAGACUUUAUUUGCGGACAUCUUAAUUUUUUCAAAAGGUCAUAGCCUUCAUUUCACAUGUAAGUACUUUAACUUUAAAAGCAUCUA